UACGGAGGGUGCAAGCGUUAAUCGGAAUUACUGGGCGUAAAGCGUGCGCAGGCGGUUUGUUAAGUCUGUUGUGAAAUCCCCGAGCUCAACUUGGGAAUUGCACUGGAUACUGGCAGGCUAGAGUGCGGUAGAGGAUGGCGGAAUUCCCGGUGUAGCAGUGAAAUGCGUAGAGAUCGGGAGGAACAUCCGUGGCGAAGGCGGCCAUCUGGACCAGCACUGACACUGAGGCACGAAAGCGUGGGGAGCAAACAGG
rnacentral:rRNA from 1 species